rnacentral:rRNA from 1 species
GACGAACGCUGGCGGCGUGCUUAACACAUGCAAGUCGAACGGAAAGGCCCUGCUUGCAGGGUACUCGAGUGGCGAACGGGUGAGUAACACGUGGGUGAUCUGCCCUGCACUUCGGGAUAAGCUUGGGAAACUGGGUCUAAUACCGGAUAGGAGCCAUCUUUAGUGUGGUGGUUGGAAAGUUUUUUCGGUGUAGGAUGAGCUCGCGGCCUAUCAGCUUGUUGGUGGGGUAAUGGCCUACCAAGGCGGCGACGGGUAGCCGGCCUGAGAGGGUGUACGGCCACAUUGGGACUGAGAUACGGCCCAGACUCCUACGGGAGGCAGCAGUGGGGAAUAUUGCACAAUGGGCGCAAGCCUGAUGCAGCGACGCCGCGUGGGGGAUGAAGGCCUUCGGGUUGUAAACUCCUUUCGCUAGGGACGAAGCUUUGUUGUGACGGUACCUAGAUAAGAAGCACCCGCUAACUACGUG